UUAGUUUUUGAUUGUGCAUUUUGAAGUUUCUGGAGAAAGGAAUAGGCAUUGGUUCAGUUUGACGUAUAAUGAAGGAAGGAGUUCGAAUGGUUGUUGGUGGUGGAGGACUACACUUAUUUAGAAUUGGCCCUCUGUUUGGAGAUGAAGAAUUGGACUUGAGCGUGACUACUUGAGAUAGAAUAAAAGCUCAAUAUCGAAAAUGACUGAACGGAGGAAUUUCCAAGCUCUUGACUUGGGAUGGAUAAGUUGACGGUUAUUGCAUUUGAAUCACUGUGAGUGGACUUUU